GACGAACGCUGGCGGCGCGCUUAACACAUGCAAGUCGAACGGAAAGGCCUGCUUUCCCUUGUGGAUUGCGGGUACUCGAGUGGCGAACGGGUGAGUAACACGUGAGUGAUCUGCCCCCAACUUGGGUAUAAGCCUGGGAAACUGGGUCUAAUUCCCGAUAGGACUGCAGGGUGGUGCCUGUGGUGGAAAACGAUUUUCUAGUGGUUGGGGAUGAGCUCGCGGCCUAUCAGCUUGUUGGUGGGGUAAUGGCCUACCAAGGCGGCGACGGGUAGCCGGCCUGAGAGGGUGGACGGCCACAUUGGGACUGAGAUACGGCCCAGACUCCUACGGGAGGCAGCAGUGGGGAAUAUUGCGCGAUGGGCGGAAGGCUGAUGCAGCGACGCCGCGUGGGGGAUGACGGGCUUCGGGUUGUAAACUCCUUUCGACCGCGAGGAAGCCACCUGGUUGGAAGGGUGGUGACGGUAGUGGUAGAAGAAGCACCGGCUAACUACGUG
rnacentral:rRNA from 1 species